UGUGAUGAUGAUGCACAAGACUAGAGUCUCUGAUUAUGAUGAAGCUGUUUCAGAUGGCACUGAACA
rnacentral:snoRNA from 1 species